CGGGGGGGGGGGGAGUAGGAGGAGAAGGAGGAAGAGAAGGAAGAAGAGAAGGGGAGGAGGAAGAGAAGGAAGAAGAGAAGGGGAGGAGGAGGAGGAAAAGGAGGAAGAGAAGGGGAAGGAAGAAGAAGGUGUCAUGAGGAAGGCAGAGGAGAAAUGACCAUGAGGCAGAAGGUCCAGGAGGAGUCACAAGGAGCAGGUCACCAAAGGAUUCUCCAUGAAUCAUUUUUUAUUAUAUUGCAAAAAAUGUAGUAGGCACAGCAGUGACAGAAGAACCAACUGCUUGCUCUUUAAUUUUUGUAGUACUGGACACUAAAUCCAUGGCUUUGCAGACACUAUGUGAGCACUCUGCCACUGAACUAUACCCACAUCCAUGUCUUCACUUUAAACCAGUAUCAUACACCUGCAACCCAGCAGGUAGAGACAGAAGGACUAGGAGUUUAAGGUCUAUCUCUACUACCUAGUGACUUGGAAGACUAUAUCCAAUUCACUCAGUUCCUAUGCAUGCAGGUAUGUAUCCAUGUAUGCCUGGGAAGAUGCUGGCUGCCAAGCCUGACAUCCUGAGUCCUAUUCCCAGGACCCACAUGUAGAAGGAAAGAAAGGUUGUCCUAUGACUCCACAUAUGUAUCAAUGCAUGUGUGCAUAUGGGCACCUGAACAAACACAAAUAAACAUUUAUAAUGAAAUCUGAAAACUACAUUAGGGUCUGGGAUGUGGUUCAGCCGUUAGAAUGCUUGCCUAACAUGCAGGAACACCUGAUUUAAAUCUCUAACACCAUAUAAAAUGGAGGAAUCCUAGCACUGAGGAGGUGGAGGCAGGAUGGUCUGAAGUUCAAGGUCAUCUUGAUUAUACAGCUAAGUGGAGGCCAGCCUGGGCCUGUCUUAGAAAGAAAACAAAUAGAGUGCCAUUGGUCAUAGACCAUGAAGAACCUCAUCCAGAGAUUCCUGUGUAGGAGUGUAUAUAAAGAUUUAUGUAUGGCUGCCUCUAGGUAAAAGGUGAAUCUGUCUUCAGUUGUAAAAGGGAUAAUUAUUGCGUAGAGGCAUUCCUAAAAUCACAGCUAUGGAAGAAGGCCAUGUGUGGGUAUUGAGAAGCUAAUGGUUAGUUUGUGGAGUGAUACGUGGCCGGUAAACAUUCUCAUCUCUAGUUUGAGAGUCAAAAUUCUAUCUUCCUUCCUGGGAGAGCAGAGUUAUGACCAUGACUGGCCAAUAAUAGCUAUCCUCCCUAGAACUUGAUUGGCUCAGGGAAAGGCAUAUGGUGUGAGUGGACCAGAUCAGAAGCAUUCCCUGGGAUUGACAGACUGACGCUGGGAAUAAAUUUGUUAAAGUGAGAGUAUGGGGUCUGGGCGUGUGGGCAGGCCCUAUACUGGGGGUAGGGUGGGAGUGGGGGUGGGGUUCCACAGCAGUGAAGACAGAAGCAGAGAAGCCAGGGGAAGAUGCUGCUGCUGAGGCCUGGGGCUAUGCUUGUAGCAGAAUCCCCUUUCCCUUGAGCUCUUUUUCUCCUUUACCUAUAUGUUGUUUUUUGUUUUGCUUUGCUUUUGUUUUUUUGAGACAGGGUUUCUCUGUAUAGCCCUGGCUGUCCUGGAACUCACUUUGUAGACCAGGCUAACCUCGAACUCAGAAAUCCCUCUGCCUCCCAAGUGCUGGGAUUAAAGGAGUGCGCCACCACGCCUGGCUCCUAUAUGUUGUUUAAGCUAGUAUAACCUUAACUUCUGCCCACCCCCUUUAAAUCACUGGAAAUAAAACCUAGAACUUCAUGUAUGAGAGAUAAGCGCCCUACCACCAAGCAUGUUUUAUAUUUAUUUAUUAAGACAGGAUUUUAUAGAUCUUGUAGAAAUCAUCCUGUCUCAGAAUCUCAAACACUGGGAUUACAGGGCUAACUCGUGCUCUACACACACACACACACACACACACACACACACACACACUCUCACACCACCUUUCGCUCUCCAGUCCAGGCUGAUCUUGAACCGGUGCUGAUGCUCCUGCUUCUGUUGGAUACACUUCUUCCUAGAUACACUUUUUCACUUUGUUAAAUACAGAAUCUCAUGCGUGCUAGACUAACCUGAAAGUUGCUACGUAACUGAAGAUGACAUUGAACCUAUCUGCCUUCACUUUUCCUGUGACAGGGUCACACGCAUGAUUCCCAGCCUACAGUUUUCCCCCAGAUAGGAUUUUUGUUUGUUUGUUUGUUUUUUUGAGACAGGGUUUCUCUGUAUAGCCCUGGCUGUCCUGGAACUCACUCUGGUCUACAGGCUGGCCUGGAACUCAGAAAUCCGCCUGCCUCUGCCUCCCGAGUGCUGGGAUUAAAGGCAUGCGGCACCACGCCCGGCUCCCCAGAUAGAAUCUUAUUGUAUAUCUCAGUGCUGCCAGAUAUUUGAUCACACUGUGAAACCCAAGACUGUGUUAUUACUGAAAAAAAAAAAAAGCAGUUUUUAGUUGUGGUGUGGCUCAGCCCUUAGCACAUAACUUUAGUCCCUCGGGCUGGACUAGAGACAUGCCCAAUCCAGUCAGAGGCUGAGAGAGAAGUCAGACUGAAUCCGUGUGGAGAGGAGUUUGAGUCAGAAUAACCAAGUUGACCGGCCAGCCACAGCUCAGAAAGAGCUGGAAGGAUGAGCUGAUUCAGCAACAAGUCUCAGAGCUGAAAACAUUCUGGGCAGAGAUAAGACUGUAGAGAGGCUAGAAGAUUCCAGGACCAGGCCUAGGUUAGCAAACUGAGGUAAAUAAAUUCUAUCAGGCAAAUAAAAGUUACUUUUACAUCUCAGGCUAACAAUCUUAUUUCAGCCUGGAUUUUUUUUUUCUUUCUUUUUGACUGUCGUGGAGCUCGAUUUGUAGACAAGGCAGGUCUUGAAUUCACAUAGAUCUGCUUGCCUCUGUCUCCUGAGUGCUGGGACUAAAGGGUUUGUACCACGACACCUGGCAGUUCCUACUUGGGGUUACUUGAUUGGAAUUACUGUCACGUGUUAGCAUGCCUGAUUUUAACUUAAAAAAAAAGAUUUAUUUAUAUGUACAUGUGUGUGUAUGUGUCUGUGUGGUUAUGUGUACCUAAGUACAGGUGCCCUUAAAAGUCAGAAGGAGGUGUUGAGUCCCUUGGAACUGGAGUUACUAGCAUUUGUAGGCCACUGGAUGUGGGUGCUGGGAACUGAACUCAGGUCCUCUGCAAAAGCAGUAAUUGCUUUCAAGUACUGGACCAUCUCUCCAGCCGCAUUAAUUUUUGUCUUGAUAUUGCAAAACUUUUGAUUAUAAAGUCUGCUGUCACUGGGCAUGAUAGCACACACCUUUAGUCCCAGCACUCAGGAGGAAAACAGAUCUCUGAGUAUAAAUAAGGCUAGCUAAGGAUGCAGUCAAACUAUAUUUUAAAAAGUGUGUUAAUGUACCUACUGCAAUGUCAUCUAUCUUUUAAAAGGAUUUCUACAGUUUAAUAGUUCUUUGCUAAGAACUGAGCAGGAUAGGAAUAAAAUCCACCCCCCCCCCUUUUUCUUGAGACCAGUUUUUACUGUAUACAGUCCUGACUGGCUUGUAACUGGAUCCAUAGACCUGGGUGAUCUUAUACUCACAGAGAUCUACAUCCCUCCGCCAAUGGUCAGCUGUAGGGCGUAGUCUCUAGUCUGGAAAAACUCUCCGUUCUCCAUUCUGUCUGUGGCUAGCCUCUGGUAAUUCCCUUUUGGCAAUGUAGGUAUGGCUCAUGUGAUUAUGGGGACUGACAAGUCUGAAAUAGGCAACAAUGACCAGCCACACAGUAUACAAGUACUGGCUUCUCCACCUCCAUACAGUAAAUACUCGUAAAAAAACAAAAGGAGAGGCGGAGCUGGGAGUGGUGGUGCAAAACCUGUAAUGCCAGCAACUGGGAGGCUGAAGUAGGAGUUCCAAACCAGCCAGUCAGCCAGAACCAACCUCAAUAGCACACUUCCCUGCUGGGUGGUUGAGCACAUACGUGUCAGACUGCUUCUAAAAGCAUGGCGAUGCUCAAAGGAUACAUAGCCAGUCCUGAGCACCUGCAGAGGGAAGCCGGAGGCACUCGCGGUCCACACCCCUUCUCCCUCGAGCAUUUGCGGUCCAGCAAGGGCAAGGCGGAGCGACAGGUCAAAAAGUAGCGCCAAGUUACAUUAGUUGCUUACUGCAGGCAGGUGGGAUCAUUGGGAGGACCCGGAAGGAGGGCAGGUUUGACUGAAUGGCUGGCCAACAGUUUGACAGAGCUGCUUGGCACCUGCCAGAAAACCCAGCCAAAAGCAGAGCGCCCGCCCCUUUUGGCCACGCCCACCCUUCUCAUGACCGGACCCCCGCCCAGCUCAGGGAACCCACUGGUCACAGUAUUUCCGGUUCCAAUCUCCCAACCGGCUUCCGUCGCCAUCAGCCCCCGCCCCGCCCCUACUGCCUCUUUGACACAGUCACGUGAGGCGUGCUCGCAGGGCCUGCCGGGAGUAGUACUGCCGGCGGGUCGGGGUUCGGCCCAACAUGGCGGUUCCUGUCGGACAGUGACCAAGGCUUUGCCGUAGGGAGGACCGAGCGGCGGCGGUCGGUGUCCCCACCUGCCAGAGUGGGAUGCAAAGCCUCUGGGAGCGCUGAGCGGAGGCAGGGACGGGCUCAGGCCCCGAAAGCCGAAGCCCGGGCAGCUACGCACAGUCGGCUGCAGGCUCCGGAGUGGGGCCGCGCCCGGCCGGGCAGGCGACGGCGGCGGCGGCUGCGGCAAGCUCGGCUCCGAGGCGGGGCGGAGGCCGGGUGCCUGGCCGCGGCCAUGGCCCAGUGCGUGCAGUCGGUGCAGGAGCUCAUCCCCGACUCCUUCGUCCCCUGCGUCGCCGCGCUGUGCAGCGACGAAGCCGAGCGGCUCACCCGCCUCAACCACCUCAGCUUCUCCGAGCUGCUCAAGCCCUUCUCUCGCCUCACUUCCGAAGUUCACAUGAGAGAUCCUAAUAAUCAACUGCAUAUAAUUAAAAAUUUGAAGAUAGCAGUAAGCAACAUUGUCACCCAGCCACCUCAGCCGGGAGCCAUUGGGAAGCUUUUGAAUGAUGUUGUUUCUGGCAGCCAGCCUGCAGAAGGAUUAGUCGCUAAUGUGAUUACAGCAGGAGAUUAUGACCUUAACAUAAGUGCUACUACUCCAUGGUUUGAGUCUUACAGAGAGACCUUUCUGCAGUCCAUGCCAGCAUCAGAUCAUGAGUUUCUGAAUCACUAUUUAGCAUGUAUGCUGGUGGCAUCGUCUGGUGAAGCUGAGCCUAUGGAACAGUUUUCAAAGUUGUCACAGGAACAGCAUCGAAUUCAGCACAACAAUGAUUAUUCCUAUCCUAAGUGGUUUAUCCCAAAUACACUUAAAUAUUACGUGCUUUUGCAUGAUGUAACUUCAGGAGAUGAACAAAGGGCUGAAUCAAUUUAUGAAGAAAUGAAACAGAAAUAUGGAACUCAGGGUUGCUAUUUACUUAAAAUCAAUUCUCGAGCACCAAAUCGAGCAUCAGAUGAACAGAUACCAGAUCCGUGGAGUCAGUAUCUCCAGAAAAAUAGUAUUCAAAACCAGGAAUCAUAUGAAGAUGGCCCUUGUACUAUGACCUCCAGUAAGAAUUCUGAUAGUAACUUGCUUUCAUUGGAUGGACUAGAUAACGAAGUCAAAGUAGAUGGCCUACCAAAUAACUUCAGAAUUCAUCCACUUCAAAUAGACCAAUGCGGUGACCCUCCUAACAAUACUGACGGCUCAGAGUCAAAGUCUGCUUCUUCAGUUCACGAGACAAAGAAAGCAAGUACUGCAGUGAUUCGUGGUGCUUGCUUAACACUCACUGACCAUGAUAGAAUCCGACAGUUUAUACAAGAGUUUACAUUCCGUGGCCUUUUGCCACACAUAGAGAAAACAAUUCGUCAGUUAAAUGAUCAGCUAAUAUCAAGGAAAGGUUUGAGUCGAUCUCUGUUUUCUGCCACUAAGAAAUGGUUUAGUGGUAGUAAAGUUCCAGAAAAGAGCAUUAAUGAGCUGAAGAAUACAUCUGGGUUGUUGUAUCCGCCAGAAGCGCCCGAGCUUCAGAUCAGGAAGAUGGCUGACUUGUGCUUCUUGGUGCAACAUUAUGAUUUGGCUUACAGUUGUUAUCACACUGCAAAGAAGGAUUUUCUUAACGAUCAAGCAAUGCUUUAUGCAGCAGGUGCCUUGGAAAUGGCAGCAGUGUCAGCCUUUCUUCAGCCAGGAGCUCCUAGGCCAUACCCUGCUCAUUACAUGGACACAGCAAUUCAGACAUACAGGGAUAUCUGCAAGAAUAUGGUGUUGGCUGAAAGAUGUGUGUUGCUUAGUGCUGAAAUUUUAAAAAGUCAAAGCAAGUACUCAGAGGCUGCAGCUCUUCUGAUACGAUUGACAAGUGAGCAGAACACAUGGAAGGGCCUGGAUUCUGAUCUCCGAAGUGCCCUUCUUUUGGAACAGGCUGCACAUUGCUUCAUAAACAUGAAGAGUCCCAUGGUUAGAAAAUACGCAUUUCAUAUGAUCCUGGCAGGCCACCGUUUUAGUAAAGCAGGGCAGAAAAAGCAUGCUUUGCGCUGCUAUUGUCAAGCCAUGCAAGUUUACAAAGGAAAGGGCUGGUCUCUGGCAGAGGAUCACAUCAACUUCACCAUUGGGCGCCAGUCCUAUACUCUGAGGCAGCUGGACAAUGCUGUUUCUGCUUUUAGACACAUUUUAAUCAAUGAAAGCAAACAGUCUGCUGCUCAGCAAGGAGCCUUCCUCAGAGAAUAUCUUUAUGUUUAUAAGAAUGUAAAUCAGCUGUCACCAGAUGGCCCUUUACCACAGCUUCCCUUACCAUACAUUAACAGUUCAGCAACACGGGUUUUCUUCGGCCAUGACAGACGACCAGCAGAUGGUGAAAAGCAAGCGGCUACUCAUAUAAGUCUUGAUCAAGAAUAUGACUCUGAGUCAUCCCAGCAGUGGCGGGAACUUGAGGAACAUGUUGUGGCUGUGGCUAAUAAAGGAGUAAUUCCAUCCAGUUUCUAUCCUACACAGUAUUGUCUGAACAGUUACUCCGAUAACUCCAGGUUUCCACUUGCAGUUGUAGAAGAGCCAAUUACUGUGGAAGUGGCUUUUAGAAACCCUUUAAAAGUUCCGCUUUUGCUGUCUGAUUUGUCAUUACUCUGGAAGUUUCAGCCUAAAGAUGCCAGUGGGAAAGACAUUGAAAAAGUGAAAGAACGAGUUACAGGUGAACCUGAAAUGAUUGGAACUGAAGUUAUUUCAGAAUUCUUAAUUAACAGUGAAGAAUCUAAAGUGGCAAGACUGAAGCUCUUUCCCCAUCACAUAGGGGAGCUGCACAUUCUGGGAGUUGUGUAUAAUCUUGGCACUAUUCAGGGCUCCGGGACAGUAGAUGGCAUUGGUGCUCUUCCUGGAUGUCACACAGGAAAACAUUCUCUGAGUAUGUCAGUACGAGGGAGACAGGAUUUAGAAAUUCAAGGCCCUCGACUUAACAACACAAAGGAAGAGAAGACAUCUGUAAAGUACGGUCCUGACCGACGUUUAGAUCCUAUAGUCACAGAGGAGAUGCCGCUGCUGGAGGUGUUCUUUAUACAUUUUCCUACAGGGCUCCUCUGUGGAGAAAUCCGAAAAGCAUAUGUAGAGUUUGUCAAUGUCAGCAAAUGUCCUCUGACUGGACUGAAAGUUGUGUCUAAACGUCCAGAGUUCUUCACUUUUGGUGGCAAUACCGCUGCUCUAACACCACUGAGCCCCUCCACAUCUGAGAACUGCAGUGCCUAUAAGACGGUUGUAACAGCUUCCCCCUCCUUGGGAACAGCACUUGUGUCAACAGCAUCAUCUAUGGACUUUGGAACUGGCACCGGACAGCAGCUGGAGGCCAUUCCUGUCCCCCUUCCUGACUCCGUGCUGCUCCCCGGAGCUUCCAUCCAGCUGCCAAUGUGGCUUCGUGGGCCAGACGAAGAGGGUGUCCAUGAAAUUAACUUUUUAUUUUACUAUGAAAGUGUUAAAAAGCAGCCUAAAAAACGACACAGAAUAUUAAGACACACUGCAGUUAUUUGUACUAGCCGGUCUUUGAAUGUGCGAGCGACUGUCUGCAGAAGUAAUUCACUUGAAGAUGAAGAAGGCAGGGGCGGCAAUAUGCUAGUCUUCGUGGAUGUAGAAAAUACUAAUACUAGUGAAGCGGGGGUUAAGGAGUUCCACAUGGUGCAGGUGUCAAGCAGUAGCAAGCACUGGCAGCUACACAAGUCCGUGAAUAUCUCCGAAAACAAAGAUGCCAAGCUUGCCAGUAGGGAGAAGGGAAAGUUUUGCUUCAAGGCAGUAAGAUGUAAACAAAAAGAAGGUGGUAUACAGUCCUCAGAAAAAUACACCUUUGCAGAUAUCAUCUUUGGAAAUGAACAGAUAAUAAGUUCAGCAAGUCCGUGUGCAGAUUUCUUUUACCGAAGUUUAUCCUCAGAGUUGAAGAAAACACAGGAUCAGCUUUCUGCGUAUCCAGAGAAACACAGAGAAGCCACAGAGGGUGCUGUGAGGCUGGUUGAGAAGUGCAGUGAGGUGGACCUGAGCAUCGUCAUCCUAUGGAAGGUGGUACACUGUGGGCAGCAGGCCAGCGUAAGGCCUUUAUGGCUUCUUUUCAUCUUACAGUUUAAGACUGGGUCUUUCUGUCUAGCGCAGGUGGGCUUCAAACUCUGUACUCUUGCUUUAGCUUUGUGAGUGCUGGAAAUACAGGUGUAUACCAUCCCACCCAGCCUGGAUAGCCAGCCAGCCAGCCUAGAAUUUAUUAUAUAGACCAGGCUGGCCUUGAAUUUACAGAAAUCAAUCUUUCUGGGAUAAAGAUGUACAUUACUACAGACACCUGCCUGCCUUUCUCUCUCCCUCCCUCCCUCCCUCCCUCCCUCCCUUCCUUCCUUCCUCCUUUCUUUUUCUUCCCCCCUCCUUUUUUUUUUUUUCUUAUUUGGUUUUUUUCAAGACAGGGUUUCUCUGUGUAGCCCUGGCUGUCCUGGCACUCACUCUGUAGACCAGGCCGGCCUCAAACUCAGAAAUCUGCCUGCCUCUGUCUCCCGAGUGCUGGGAUUAAAGGCAUGUGCCACCACUGCCCCACUGUUUUAUAACUUAAUAGCUCCACAAUGACUUUUUGAAUGUUUUUGUCUAAAGAAAAGAAUUCAAUAAGAACAGAUGGUUUUCUUCUAUUGGUUAGUGUUGUUUCUUUGUGUCACCAAGAAUAUUGUGGCCAUACAGGUCUAUGAAAGCAGGUGCUGUUAAACUCUUCUGUCAUGAGCAAUUCCAGACACUAUCAAGAGAGAAGUUGCUCUGUGAGUCUGUGGGUGCUCAGUCUCCUGGACUUGUUGCUGUUUGUGCUCCAUCUUUUGUGUGCCUUUUCUCCCUUUUUAUCUUUUUUCCUUAUUUACUUAUUGGUACUAGAAGUAGUUUAUAUUUUUGUAAACAUGCUGACUUUGCAUGAACCUCAAAUGAGCCACUGCUUAAAUAAGGUGCCUCUUAAUCGCAAAAUGUGUUUUAUGUCUAAAAAAAGACUACUUGUGCAUUGUUAUGUAUUAGCUUGAAAUUGUAAGCUCUUGAGUGGCCCUUGAUGCACUUAAAGUAAGAGUUUGAGUAAUACAUGCUCUAAUCUGUACUCAACUGUCAAGUCCACGGUGACCUUGGUUGAGAAGAAAAUUUUACUUUUCCCAAAAUGGCCCAUUGAUCACAUGUAAAGGAAGAUAUGUAAUCCUGAUGGAAAGUAGAGGUUACAUGUGUUAAAGACUAUGAUACAAAGCUUGGUGGUAGUUAGUACCUGGAGCUGCAUUUACACUGAGUUGAGAAAAUGUCUAUAAAUUAAAAGAGAAUUUAAGAUACCUUAUCCCCUUCUGUUUUCAGUUUUUAUUUUUCUCACAGGAUCUUACAUUAUCAAGGUUGGCCUUUAGCUCCUGAUCCUUCCCAUGCCUCCCAACUCCUGGGAUUACAGGCAUACGUUGUAGAAGAUAACAAGCAGCUUAUUUUAGAAGGCCAGCAUCACGUUGUUGUUCGCACUGUUGGGAAAGAAGCCUUUUCACACUCUCAGAAAGAGGAGCCACCAGAAAUGGAACUAUUAAAGUUUUUCAGGCCAGAAAACACUACAGUUUCCACAAGACCAUCAGUAGAGCAGCUUUCUAAUCUCAUUAAAACAAGUCUCCACUAUCCGGAGUCAUUUCACCAUCCAUUUCAUCAGAAAAGCCUUUGCUUAGUCCCAGUCACCCUUUUACUUUCUAACUGUUCUAAGGCUGAUGUAGACGUAAUAGUUGAUCUCCGGCAUAAAACAACAAGUCCUGAGGCACUGGAAACUCACGGAUCAUUCACGUGGCUUGGACAGACACAGUAUAAGCUCCAGCUGAAAAGCCAAGAGAUGCACAGUUUGCAGCUGAAGGCAUGCUUUGUUCAUACAGGCGUUUAUAACCUUGGAACUCCAAGAGUAUUCGCCAAGUUAUCGGACCACGUUACAGUAUUUGAAACAAGUCAGCAGAACUCCAUGCCUGCUCUGAUUAUCAUCAAUAACGCGUGACAACUCAGAGUCACAGACUCAGUUUGACUUUGUGGAAUUGGUUUUACAGCAGCAUUUGAAAUACCCAACUUGUUAAGGAAGUUCUCUGAUCACUGCAAAAUACAGGGACUUGGCACUUAGUUGACACAGUACUCUGGGCUGAGAAUGUGUAGACUGCAUUUUUUUUUUUCCUUUUAAACCUGGUUAUAAUUUAUAUUCUUAUAAUACAGAAUUCAACGUAUCCAUAAACCUUAUUAAGCCGUGUCUUAAAAAAAAGUCCAAGUCUGCUGUUGCAACUUAUCGGACGGUUGACUCCUAGAAGGUGAUUUUGAGGAAUGAAAAGCCUUGCUGGCAAUACUCCUGUUAAGCCAUUAGUCUAAAGAUCCUACCUUUACUGUGAAAUUCUAUAGAGUGUUAAAUACAAAUUUUCCUGGCUUGCCCCAAACAGUUCUGUAAGACCAGUUUUGAACGCUGGUUAUAGACACUCACAUUUCAGUGUGGUGUCCCUAUGGCUUAUACAUAACUGUAAAAACAAAAAGCUUUUCUGAUGCUUUGAACAUAGUUUUGGAAGGAGGUCAACUUUAUUCCUUUGCUCAUCUCUUACUGUCACACUAUUUCACAAUAAGAUUUUUGUCAUUAAAUCAUAUUCUUUAUUAUAAUAACUUUAACAAUUAAGUUGAUCUGUUUAAAAUAUAAAUCUAUUCAAGUUAAAAAUAAGCUUUUCAAAAAUGUAUUAUAUUUAUAACAAAUUUACUGUAAAUAGAAUAAAGACAUACUAUUCACUGUAUAAAUUUAUUAGAUGCCUUUUUUAAAACCUGGCUUUGUGAGGACUUAAUAUAUUCUUUAUUUAAAAUAAAUGUCAAACAUGUACAGUAGGCACUAGCCUA